CCUCCGAUUAGCACGGUUGGCUACGUGCGGUGCUCAAGCAACUGGCCACAAUACUCUAUUGUAUGCAUCUACGUUGAACUUAUUUCGCGCCGUACGUAGCCAACCGUGCGGGGGAAGGGCAGCAAACUAAUACAAACAAAAACUGUUCUAAAUAAAAUAGCGUGCCGUGUCGGGCCCGAAAUAGGUGCUCCGCUAGCAGCGAAUUCCGCCAACAGCCUGCGAGGCUCGGCAAGCGUGUGCCCGCAACGUACGCGCAACGUACGCGGCGGCUGAGCGACUCAAGCAAUUCAAAUGUAGUUCUCAGGCUCCAGUUGACAACGGAUCCGGUCCUGUAAGCAUCAAUUAUUUCCGAAUCACGUGGGGCUCGUUUUUUGUUAUUGUUGUUGUUGUAUGCGUGUGCGUUCGCACGUCCGCACAGGUGUACAUACGUUUGCACACGUGUUUACGUAUACAGCGCACACCCACGCGCGUGUAGAAGCACAGACACCCGCGUACGUACGUACAAGUGCGCGUUGCGCGUGUUUAACGUGCAACGCACACGAGUGCUCGCACAGACGUUGUUAGCCUCUCAAGAGGGGGGCGGCCACGACGUUUCCUGCUGGCGUUGGUGCAGAGGGAGCUUUGACUCGAGCGCACGCCAGUGGCACGGAGAGCACAGAGACCCCAUCGCAGUUUCAUCAGGGGCUCAUCACAGCCUCAUUCCAGGCCCUGUCACAGCCUCGUCACAGCCUCGUCACAGCCUCGUCACAGCCUCGUCUCAGGCCCUGUCACACCCUCGUAUCAGGCCCUGUCACAGCCUCAUUCCAGGCCCUGUCACACCCUCGUCACACCCUCGUCACAGCCUCGUCUCAGCCUCGUCACAGCCUCGUCUCAGGCCCUGUCACAGCCUCGUCUCAGGCCCUGUCACAGUCUCAUCACAUGCCCACGAGUGCCCCACCUCAUCCCCAUCACUACCCUCAGUCCUGCUAAAGGUUUAAAUCACGGGCUGAGCUGACCUCGUGGUGAAACCUACUCGCAACUGUGCUGGAUAGCAACAAGCCCACGGUUCGAUCCCCGUGGGCUUGGCCGUUACGAAGCCUCCAACGUCGCCAUUCGUGAACGAGUUUUGGCCAUUGUGAGCCAUUGUGUUUAACAUCUCCCGAUGCCACAUUGGUUCUCCGCUGAGAUUGUCCGAUGGAGCUCGUUGGGGAUGAUGAUCAGUUUAAGACGUAGGCAUUCGUGACCGAUAUCCAUAAGUUUUUCUUUGGGUGAGAUGGCGUAAAUACCAACGUCAUCAAAUCUCGCUGUCGCCUGAUGAUGCCGGUUGUAAUUACUGGCGAAACGUCGUACUCGGAUUGUAAAUGUUGUGAAUUUGCUCUCCAAACACACCGGUGUACUGAACUAGUAACGAAUUGACACGUUCCGUUUACGUGACAAACCUUACUAAUUGGCCGUGUCGGGUGGUGGCGGGUUUAACGACACGCAUUUAAACGCGGGUCUAAACCCAAAAAAAUCUGUUAUGGAUGAUCGACGACGAGUCUCGGUCAGCUCUCCGGUUCCUGCAGGAAAUUACUACAGCCAUCUCCCCCCCCUCCUCCCAAACACUCACUUCCUAUAAAGAUGCUAUGCAGUGGUCAAAGAAUUGCGGGUGUUCGUUGCACGUUCGAGUUAAACACGAUUUGUUUUUUGCCGAAAAUUACCCCGGUCUCGUUCCAACUUCCCGUAGUGUAUUUAUAAACUAACACGUAAGUCAGGUUGGCGCUUAUAUAUAUAUUUUUUUGUUUAUUGUGGGUGGGGCGGGGGGGAGGGGGGUGACAUCCCUGGUGUCAUUCACGCAUCCCGCGGUUGGAAACGCACGCGCCUUGACGUGGCUUCAAGUGUUCGUCGUGGUCUCGUCGUAACGGCACGUGGGGCUGCCCCACCCGUGCCCACCCGAGAUUGUCCACGGACAAGAUCGUCGCCGGCCAUGAUCCAUCCACCGCUGGGUUGAAGGCCUCACCCAGGCCCCGUUGCCGGCUCUUCAACCGUCCCGCGACGAUCCUUGCCGGCGCCCGCGCGAGAGCCGAUUUCAUCGCUCCGUCUCUACGCGGCGGUAAUGCCUCUCCACCCCCUCCUCCCCCCCCCUCGUGUGACACGGGGAGCGUGAAGGAUGAGUGGUUAGUGAUGGGUUUUUGUGCGGAGGGUGGUGGCAGCGGUUUUGAGUUUUUUGUGAAAAAGCUGGCUGGCGUUUUUUCUUUUAUUGGGUUUUGCAAAAAAAAAAUUCCUUUUGUCAUUUAACAAUUAGGGAAAUGGGAUUUUGUUUGAGAUUAAAAACUCACGGGGGUCGGGUGUAAGUCGUCGUGUAAAGAGGAGCCAGGCUGGACAUACUUCGAUGUCGUCGUCAUUAUAGAGGGAAAAAUGCCUUAGCGUUACCAUGUUUUUGUUGGGUUUUUUUUACGCCCUCGCCGAGUGUCGGGACUUUUUUUUGUUUGCCGCGUUCGGAAUGCCUCCCGUAGACGUGUCCUGGGGUGUUCAGGGAGGAAUCGGAGCGGGACCCGGAGGGAACCGCGCUGCAACGCGCGGGGGGGCGGGGCGGGGGGGCGGCGCUACACUCGGCGCUGGCAACGCUCCCCGUUGCGUUUGUCCGCACCGCCGAUUAACCGGUUGGCUACAUACGGUGGUGCCAAAUAAGUUCCACGUACAGGGUGGUGACCCCUGUGCCCCCCCCCCCCACCCCAAGUUAAUUAUCCAAAACGUUAUUUUUUUAAAGGGAAAAGAAUGUUGGGGGGGGGGUGUGUCACGAAACAUCUGGACCACCCCUGUGCAUACUACCCCUUUAUUGCACGUGGCAGAUGGGGGGGGGGGGGGGUCACCCAUCCAAGCGCUGCCCAGGCUCUUAAAAUCCGACUUGGGCUUCCACGAAAGGAUGGGACGAUGCAAAGUGGCACUUUGGGGGAGCAAGAGUAAAGGGGGGGGGGGGGCAAACGCUUGAUCGAUUUGUUUUAUAUACAGUACAUGUGUGUAAAAGUGUUGGCUUGAAAACAACAAAGUAAAAUAAUGUUGAUACGUGAAUGGCGUCUUUUCUUAUUAUCGAACAGGAAUAAAGAUUUCUUUUUUUUAAAAUAUCUAUGAAAGUAAACUAUUUACUCCCGGCAUAUUAAGAGUCGGCGGCGUUCUUGUAAGCGUUCGUUUAGGAAGAUGCCACUCCUUUGCUGUUGCGUCUAACUCCGUUUUUCCUCGAGAAAAUCGAUCCAUAGUUUCAAAUUAUUUUUUCCCCGAGCUGAUCUCCGGUCAAGGCGCGCUCGGUUAUGGCUGUUACGCUCCCAGUUUGAAUACAUUUUCUCAUAUUCCACGUGGCCCGAUUGAUUACUUUAUAUAGUGGAUGUAAUUACAUGGUGUAAUGCUGUAAUAUUAAUAAAUAAAAUUACAUCUCUUUGAAAA